UACGGAGGGAGCUAGCGUUGUUCGGAAAUACUGGGCGUAAAGCGCACGUAGGCGGCGCAGCAAGUCAGGGGUGAAAUCCCGGGGCUCAACCUCGGAACUGCCCUUGAAACUGCAGUGCUAGAAUCUUGGAGAGGCGAGUGGAAUUCCGAGUGUAGAGGUGAAAUUCGUAGAUAUUCGGAAGAAACACCAGUGGCGAAGGCGACUCCGCGUGCAGUAUUGUACGCUGAGGCGCG
rnacentral:rRNA from 1 species